rnacentral:lncRNA from 10 species
GUGCUUGUGCGUGACUGUGACUCAUUCCUCUUUGCUGGUGUGUAGUACGUGUCCUAAGCAGCUUUGUGUGUGUUCACUUGGAACCACCCCAUGAGGUGGCCCAAACUUCUGAGCAUGGGUAGUUGUUGCAAAGUUCCAGUUCCUGAUCACACACGGCCCCUUUGUGCCACGCCGAGUUCCUGUGUAUUUGGCUUAUUUGUGGACUUUCUUGUUCCAGGAAUCUUUUUAAAGGGCCAGCAUCAUGCUGUUUCAAUUACAAUGUUCUAAAAACAGCAGAAUUUAAAACAAUUUGACUAGUCUGGCAUAUUUGCUUUUCUGUUUUAACUUUAGAAUCCGCUUGUGUUUUAAAGGAAGGUUUUACAUCUUAAGAUACUGUAUAGCAAAAUGUGAGAAUCAACAGAACUUUCACUUAUUCAGGGCCUGUGUUCCUUAGUAAUGUUAUAAUACCUUUCACAUAGGUGUUUCCCUAUUUGUUACUAGGUAUUUUAUCUUUUUUGGGGGUUGCUAUUGAAAAAAUGACUUCUGGUCAGGUGCAGUGUCUCAUGCCUGUAAUCCCAGCAUUUGGGGAGGCUGAGGUAGGAGGUUCGCUUGAGGCCAGGAGUACAAGAACAGCCUUGGCAACAUAGCAAGACACUGCCUCUAUAAAAAAUACAAUAAAAAUUAUCUGGGCGUGGUGAUGUACACCUGUAGGCCCAGCUACUCAGGUGGCUGAGAAGAGAGGAUCGCUUGAGCCCAGAAGGUAGAGGCUGCCGUGAAACAUGAUCAUGCCACUGCACUCCAGUCCAGGUGACAGUUAAGACCCUGUCUCUAAAUAAAAAUAAAAAAUGACCCUCCAUUAUAGCCUAUAUUUAUAGGAAAGCUACUGAUGUUUUUGUUAAUUUUGUGUCUGGUUAACUUGGUGAAUUCUUUCUUCAGUCACAGAUUUUCAUUUGCUCCUUAGAUGACCUGGGUAUGCAACCAUCUAACCUGCAAGUAAUUUCACCUUCUCCUUUCCACUUUUACAGCAUUUCUGUCUAAGUGCUGUUUCUUUUUCAAUGAUUUCUUCUAUACUAUUUGUUUUACCACACUGACCUUUAACAAUAAAACAUUAAAUAUUGCUAAAUAAGAGAAUAGAUAUAAAUAGAUUUUCCUUUCUUUUAUAAAACAGAAACAGGCAGGCCGGGCAUGGUGGCUCACGCCUGUAAUCCCAGCACUUUGGGAGGCCAAGGCGGGCAGAUCACCUGAGGUUAGGAGUUCAAGACCAGUCUGGCCAACAUAGUGAAACCCCGUCUCUACAAAAAUACAAAUAUUAGCUGGGCAUGAUGGCGGGUGCCUGUAAUCCCAGCUACUUGGGAGACUGAGGUGGGAGAACUGCUUGAACCCAGGAGGCGGAGGGUGCAGUGAGCUGAGAUUGCACCACUGCACUCCAGCUUGGGCAACAGAGCAAGACUCCACCUCAAUUAAAAAUAAAUAAACUAAAAUGGAAACAGGAUCUCCCUAUGGUGCUCAGGAUGGUCUGGAACUCAGGCUCAAACGAUCCUCCCACCUUGCCCUCCCAUAGCUGGGACUACAGGCGUGAGCCACUGUGCUCAAAUGAAACAAAGGCACAGCACAACGAAUCGUCCAAGUAAAAAAGACCCACUUGUCACUACCUGGCCCCACUGGUAUUUUGUGGUAGAGGUGGCCAGGAAAGAAUAAUCACUUGAGAGGGGACAGGUGCUCCCUGCUCUGACUUCUGUCUAGUGCACUAGUAGUCAAAGCUGCUAAAGAGUUAUGAAGAAUGUGUCAUUUGCAUAUCACAAAGUUUUAUUAAUGUAA